GAAAAAUUAGUUAAUUAAUAAUAUUAAUAUGUCAUAUUAAAGUAAUUUAAAUUAAAUAUUUUUUA
rnacentral:tRNA from 1 species